AUGUGAGGGUGACCUUGCUGUGACAUGUCACCCCAUUAAUCGCCAGGAUUGAUUUGGUUGCUCUGAAAGGACUAGGUGUGUGUCUCCUUCCUCCCUCACCACU
rnacentral:sRNA from 1 species